GGUUAAGCGACUAAGCGUACACGGUGGAUGCCCUGGCAGUCAGAGGCGAUGAAGGGCGUGCUAAUCUGCGAUAAGCGCCGGUAAGGUGAUAUGAACCGUUAUAACCGGCGAUACCCGAAUGGGGAAACCCAGUGUGAUUCGUCACACUAUCAUUAACUGAAUCCAUAGGUUAAUGAGGCGAACCGGGGGAACUGAAACAUCUAAGUACCCCGAGGAAAAGAAAUCAACCGAGAUUCCCCCAGUAGCGGCGAGCGAACGGGGAGGAGCCCAGAGCCUGAAUCAGCAUGUGUGUUAGUGGAAGCGUCUGGAAAGGCGCGCGAUACAGGGUGACAGCCCCGUACACAAAAGCGCAUGUGCUGUGAGCUCGAUGAGUAGGGCGGGACACGUGGUAUCCUGUCUGAAUAUGGGGGGACCAUCCUCCAAGGCUAAAUACUCCUGACUGACCGAUAGUGAACCAGUACCGUGAGGGAAAGGCGAAAAGAACCCCGGCGAGGGGAGUGAAAAAGAACCUGAAACCGUGUACGUACAAGCAGUGGGAGCCCCACCACUAAGCCAGUGGUGAACUCCACAUACGCAUCCUUUGCUGAGGAUACGGUUAACGGAGCGAAAGCGACGUUCAACCGCAAAAGAAGCAGAGGGGGC
rnacentral:rRNA from 1 species